rnacentral:rRNA from 1 species
GGGAGCGUAGGGAUUGAUGCUUUGCCUGCUAUCUCUUACCCAUGUCUUUUGAGUACCUUACGUUUCCUCGGCGGGUCCGCCCGCCGAUUGGACAAUUUAAACCAUUUGCAGUUGCAAUCAGCGUCUGAAAAAACUUAAUAGUUACAACUUUCAACAACGGAUCUCUUGGUUCUGGCAUCGAUGAAGAACGCAGCGAAAUGCGAUAAGUAGUGUGAAUUGCAGAAUUCAGUGAAUCAUCGAAUCUUUGAACGCACAUUGCGCCCCUUGGUAUUCCAUGGGGCAUGCCUGUUCGAGCGUCAUUUGUACCUUCAAGCUCUGCUUGGUGUUGGGUGUUUGUCUCGCCUCUGCGUGUAGACUCGCCUCAAAACAAUUGGCAGCCGGCGUAUUGAUUUCGGAGCGCAGUACAUCUCGCGCUUUGCACUCAUAACGACGACGUCCAAAAGUACAUUUUUACACUCUUGACCUCGGAUCAGGUAGGGAUACCCGCUGAACUUAAGCAUAUCAAUAAGCGGAGAGAAA